rnacentral:tRNA from 1 species
GCGGAUAUAAAAAAUGGUAAGUCUUCUCCUUCCCAGGAGAAGAUGCGGGUUCGAUUCCCGCUAUUCGCU